GACAGAGGGUGCAAACGUUGUUCGGAAUUACUGGGCGUAAAGCGCGUGUAGGCUGCUCGGAAAGUCGGAUGUGAAAGCCCUGGGCUUAACCUAGGAAGUGCAUUCGAAACUUCCGAGCUGGAGUUCUGGAGAGGAAGGCGGAAUUCUCGGUGUAGAGGUGAAAUUCGUAGAUAUCGAGAGGAACACCGGUGGCGAAGGCGGCCUUCUGGACAGCGACUGACGCUGAGACGCGAAAGCGUGGGGAGCAAACAGG
rnacentral:rRNA from 1 species